rnacentral:rRNA from 1 species
UACGUAGGGGGCAAGCGUUGUCCGGAUUUAUUGGGCGUAAAGAGCUCGUAGGCGGUUCGGCAAGUCAGCUGUGAAAUCUCCACGCUCAACGUGGAGGGGUCAGCUGAUACUGCUGUGACUCGAGUCCGGUAGGGGAGUGUGGAAUUCCCGGUGUAGCGGUGAAAUGCGCAGAUAUCAGGAGGAACACCAGUGGCGAAGGCGACUUACUGGACACAUAUUGACGCUGAGGUGCGAAAGCGUGGGGAGCAAACAGG